rnacentral:snRNA from 1 species
AUCCAUUCGCAGGCGAUAUCAUAGCCUAUGAGGUCUAGCGAGGCGUGAUUAUUGCGGGUGAAAACUUAACCCAAUACCCCGGGACGACUUGCAAUACAGUCGGCCCUGGCAAUUUUGAUAGUCUCGUCAGAGA